GUGACCUCGGAUCAGAGACACCAGUCGAU
rnacentral:rRNA from 1 species